rnacentral:rRNA from 1 species
GACGAACGCUGGCGGCGUGCUUAACACAUGCAAGUCGAACGGAAAGGCCCUGCUUUUGUGGGGUGCUCGAGUGGCGAACGGGUGAGUAACACGUGAGUAACCUGCCCUUGACUUUGGGAUAACUUCAGGAAACUGGGGCUAAUACCGGAUAGGAGCUCCUGCUGCAUGGUGGGGGUUGGAAAGUUUCGGCGGUUGGGGAUGGAUUCGCGGCUUAUCAGCUUGUUGGUGGGGUAGGGGCUUACCAAGGCUUUGAAGGGUAGCCGGCCUGGGAGGGUGACCGGCCACAUUGGGACUGAGAGACGGCCCAGACUCCUACGGGAGGCAGCAGUGGGGAAUAUUGCACAAUGGGCGGAAGCCUGAUGCAGCAACGCCGCGUGCGGGAUGACGGCCUUCGGGUUGUAAACCGCUUUCGCCUGUGACGAAGCGUGAGUGACGGUAAUGGGUAAAGAAGCACCGGCUAACUACGUG